rnacentral:rRNA from 1 species
GGAUGUGAUGGGGAGCGAAAUUUAGUAGCGAAGUAGCUGAUUUCACACUGUCAAGAAAAGUCUCUAUCGAGGUUAAAGGUACCCGUACCGCAAACCGACACAGGUGGGUGAGGAGAGUAUCCUAAGGCCAGCGAGAGAACUGUUGUUAAGGAACUCGGCAAAAUGACCCCGUAACUUAGGGAUAAGGGGUGCCACCAUCCGGUGGCCGCAGAGAAUAGGCCCAAGCGACUGUUUACCAAAAACAUAGGUUUCUGCUAAGUCGCAAGACGAUGUAUAGGAGCUGACGCCUGCCCGGUGCUGGAAGGUUAAGGGGAUCUGUUAGAG